rnacentral:rRNA from 1 species
AGUGAACGCUGGCGGUAGGCCUAACACAUGCAGGUCGAACGGCAGCACAGUAAGAGCUUGCUCUUACGGGUGGCGAGUGGCGGACGGGUGAGGAAUACAUCGGAAUCUACUUUUUCGUGGGGGAUAACGUAGGGAAACUUACGCUAAUACCGCAUACGACCUACGGGUGGAAGCAGGGGAUCUUCGGACCUUGCGCGAUUGAAUGAGCCGAUGUCGGAUUAGCUAGUUGGCGGGGUAAAGGCCCACCAAGGCGACGAUCCGUAGCUGGUCUGAGAGGAUGAUCAGCCACACUGGAACUGAGACACGGUCCAGACUCCUACGGGAGGCAGCAGUGGGGAAUAUUGGACAAUGGGCGCAAGCCUGAUCCAGCCAUACCGCGUGGGUGAAGAAGGCCUUCGGGUUGUAAAGCCCUUUUGUUGGGAAAGAAAAGCAGCAGGUUAAUACCCCGCUGUUCUGACGGUACCCAAAGAAUAAGCACCGGCUAACUUCGUG